rnacentral:misc_RNA from 1 species
GGAAGUGAAAGUCGUAACAAGGUUUCCGUAGGUGAACCUGCGGAAGGAUCAUUCAUAAUAAGUGUUUAUGGCACUUUUUUAAAUCCAUAUCCACCUUGUGUGCAAUGUCAGGGUUGAUUUUUCUCUCGAGAGGAUCAGCCCCAAACAUCAACUAUAUCUCAACUCUUUGUCUGAAAAAUAUUAUGAAUAAAACAAUUCAAAAUACAACUUUCAACAACGGAUCUCUUGGCUCUC